CCCAGGACUGCCUUCCCCUCAUGGGUAAGGUCCCUGAUGUUGUCUUUACCUUUGUGGAAAUCACCACAGGUUUGGAGUGAGCCGUAGAUCCCCAGCCUCCAUUGACAGGCAGAACACCCAGUCAGAUAUUGGUGGCAGCGGAAAAUCCACGCCUAGUUGGCAAAGAAGUGAGGAUAGCAUUGCUGACCAGAUGGAGCCAACAUGCCAUCUCCCAGCAGUAUCAAAGGUACUGCCAGCUUUCCGAGAGAGCCCCAGUGGGAGAUUAAUGCGGCAGGAUCCAGUGGUUCAUUUGUCUCCAAACAAACAAGGGCAUUCUGAUAGCCACUACUCGAGCCACUCCAGUAGCAAUACUCUCUCCAGCAAUGCGUCGAGUGCCCAUAGUGAUGAGAAGUGGUACGAUGGGGACCGCACAGAAUCCGAACUCAACAGCUAUAACUAUCUGCAAGGCACCUCUGCUGACAGUGGCAUUGACACCACCUCUUAUGGCCCCAGCCACGGCAGCACAGCCUCGCUGGGGGCUGCCACAUCGUCACCUCGCUCAGGGCCAGGCAAGGAGAAAGUGGCACCCCUAUGGCAUAGCUCCAGUGAAGUCAUCUCCAUGGCAGAUCGGACUUUGGAGACAGAGAGCCACGGCCUGGACCGGAAAACAGAGUCUUCCCUGAGCUUAGACAUACACAGCAAGAGCCAAGCCGGCUCGAGCCCUCUGACAAGGGAGAACAGCACCUUCAGUAUAAACGAUGCUGCUUCCCACACAAGUACCAUGAGCUCCCGACACUCUGCCAGCCCAGUGGUUUUCACCAGUGCCCGAAGUUCACCUAAAGAAGAGCUUCAUCCGGCUGCCCCCUCACAGCUCGCACCAUCCUUCUCCUCCUCUUCCUCCUCCUCCUCUGGUCCUAGGAGUUUUUACCCUCGCCAGGGUGCUACUAGCAAGUACCUGAUUGGAUGGAAAAAACCCGAAGGAACCAUAAACUCCGUGGGAUUUAUGGACACGAGAAAGCGUCAUCAGAGCGAUGGCAAUGAAAUAGCCCACACCAGGCUGCGUGCCUCAACCAGAGACCUCCGGGCAUCUCCUAAGCCAACCUCCAAGUCCACCAUUGAAGAAGAUCUAAAGAAACUAAUUGAUCUUGAAAGCCCAACUCCUGAAUCACAGAAGAGUUUUAAGUUCCACGCACUCUCCUCUCCUCAGUCUCCUUUCCCCAGCACCCCCACCUCACGGCGGGCCUUGCACAGAACACUGUCGGACGAGAGCAUUUACAGUAGCCAGAGGGAGCACUUUUUCACCUCCAGGGCGUCACUUCUGGACCAAGCCCUGCCCAACGACGUCCUCUUCAGUAGCACGUACCCUUCUCUCCCCAAGUCGCUCCCGUUGAGGAGGCCUUCUUACACCUUAGGAAUGAAAUCGCUGCAUGGAGAGUUCUCGGCCUCGGACAGCUCCCUCACUGACAUCCAGGAGACCCGCAGGCAGCCUAUGCCUGACCCUGGCCUGAUGCCCCUGCCUGACACUGCUGCAGACUUGGAUUGGUCCAACCUGGUAGAUGCUGCCAAAGCCUACGAGGUCCAGAGAGCCUCGUUUUUUGCUGCUAGUGAUGAAAACCAUCGCCCCUUGAGUGCUGCAUCCAACAGUGAUCAGCUAGAGGACCAGGCUCUGGCCCAGAUGAAGCCUUACAGCAGCAGUAAAGACUCCUCUCCCACUCUGGCUUCUAAAGUGGACCAGCUGGAAGGUAUGCUGAAGAUGCUUCGGGAAGAUUUGAAGAAGGAAAAAGAAGACAAAGCCCACCUUCAGGCAGAGGUACAGCACCUGCGAGAGGACAACCUGAGGCUACAGGAGGAGUCCCAGAACGCUUCGGACAAGCUGAAGAAGUUCACGGAAUGGGUCUUCAACACCAUAGACAUGAGCUAGGGAAGGCUGAGGAGGACAGGAGAAGGGCCCGGACACUCCCUCCAGCGAGUGUCCUGCACCCCUUAUUUCCUCCGUAGAAAGCAUCCUCAGAGCACCUUCCCCGGCUUCCUACUCUGCCCCCUUUUGGGGAGUGCACAACACAAUAGUUGCAGAUCAACAAUCAUCACCUGCCUUUUGUAGAAAAGAAAAACAAAAAAAGUAAAUAA
rnacentral:sRNA from 1 species